rnacentral:rRNA from 1 species
UACAGAGGGUGCGAGCGUUAAUCGGAAUUACCGGGCGUAAAGCGCACGUAGGCGGCGACGUAAGUCGGGUGUGAAAGCCCCGGGCUCAACCUGGGAAUUGCAUUCGAGACUGCAUUGCUGGAGUACGGAAGAGGAGGGCGGAAUUCCCGGUGUAGCGGUGAAAUGCGUAGAUAUCGGGAGGAACAUCAGUGGCGAAGGCGGCCCUCUGGUCCAGUACUGACACUCAAGUGCGAAAGCGUGGGGAGCAAACAGG